UGGGGAAUUUUGGACAAUGGGCGAAAGCCUGAUCCAGCAAUGCCGCGUGAGUGAAGAAGGCCUUCGGGUUGUAAAGCUCUUUUGUCAGGGAAGAAACGGUGAGAGCUAAUAUCUCUUGCUAAUGACGGUACCUGAAGAAUAAGCACCGGCUAACUACGUGCCAGCAGCCGCGGUAAUACGUAGGGUGCAAGCGUUAAUCGGAAUUACUGGGCGUAAAGCGUGCGCAGGCGGUUUUGUAAGUCUGAUGUGAAAUCCCCGGGCUCAACCUGGGAAUUGCAUUGGAGACUGCAAGGCUAGAAUCUGGCAGAGGGGGGUAGAAUUCCACGUGUAGCAGUGAAAUGCGUAGAUAUGUGGAGGAACACCGAUGGCGAAGGCAGCCCCCUGGGUCAAGAUUGACGCUGAGGCUCGAAAGCGUGGGGAGCGAACAGGAUUAGAUACCCUAGUAGUCCCUGAGCGGGCUGGCAAGGCGCAU
rnacentral:rRNA from 1 species